GACGAACGCUGGCGGCGUGCUUAACACAUGCAAGUCGAACGGAAAGGCCCUGCUUGCAGGGUACUCGAGUGGCGAACGGGUGAGUAACACGUGGGUGAUCUGCCCUGCACUUCGGGAUAAGCUUGGGAAACUGGGUCUAAUACCGGAUAGGAGCCAUCUUUAGUGUGGUGGUUGGAAAGUUUUUUCGGUGUAGGAUGAGCUCGCGGCCUAUCAGCUUGUUGGUGGGGUAAUGGCCUACCAAGGCGGCGACGGGUAGCCGGCCUGAGAGGGUGUACGGCCACAUUGGGACUGAGAUACGGCCCAGACUCCUACGGGAGGCAGAAGUGGGGAAUAUUGCACAAUGGGCGCAAGCCUGAGGCAGCGACGCCGCGUGGGGGAUGAAGGCCUUCGGGUUGUAAACUCCUUUCGCUAGGGACGAAGCUUUGUUGUGACGGUACCUAGAGAAGAAGCACCGGCUAACUACGUG
rnacentral:rRNA from 1 species